CAGUCGCCACGGUAAUACGAAGGGUGCAAGCGUUACUCGGAAUUACUGGGCGUAAAGCGUGCGUAGGUGGUGGUUUAAGUCCGUUGUGAAAGCCCUGGGCUCAACCUGGGAAUUGCAGUGGAUACUGGGUCACUAGAGUGUGGUAGAGGAUAGUGGAAUUUCCGGUGUAGCAGUGAAAUGCGUAGAGAUCGGAAGGAACAUCUGUGGCGAAGGCGACUAUCUGGGCCAACACUGACACUGAGGCACGAAAGCGUGGGGAGCAAACAGGAUUAGAUACCCGCGUAGUCCCUGUCUCUUAUCC
rnacentral:rRNA from 1 species